GGUCAUGAGUGCCAGCGCCAAGCCCCGGCUCGCUGGCCGGCAACCCUCCAUCCGCGGUGGGGUGCCCCGGGUGAAGACCUGGCUCUUCGGCAACAGCCGGGAGCAAGCGCGGCCC
rnacentral:ncRNA from 1 species